CCUACGGGAGGCAGCAGUGGGGAAUAUUGCGCAAUGGGCGAAAGCCUGACGCAGCGACGCCGCGUGAGGGAUGAAGGUCUUCGGAUCGUAAACCUCUGUCAGCAGGGAAGAACGGUCACUGUGCUAAUCAGCAGUGAAUUGACGGUACCUGCAAAGGAAGCACCGGCUAACUCCGUGCCAGCAGCCGCGGUAAUACGGAGGGUGCGAGCGUUAAUCGGAAUUACUGGGCGUAAGGCGCUCGUAGGCGGUAUGUCAAGUCAAGGGUGAAAUCCCCGCGCUCAACGUGGGAACUGCCUUUGAAACUGGCAAACUGGAGUGUGUGAGAGGAUAGUGGAAUUCGAGGUGUAGGAGUGAAAGCCGUAGAUAUCUGGAGGAACAUCAGUGGCGAAGGCGACUAUCUGGCACAUAACUGACGCUGAGGAGCGAAAGCGUGGGUAGCAAACAGGAUUAGAUACCCUUGUAGUC
rnacentral:rRNA from 1 species